rnacentral:rRNA from 1 species
GAUGAACGCUGGCGGCGUGCCUAAUACAUGCAAGUCGAGCGAACGGACGAGAAGCUUGCUUCUCUGAUGUUAGCGGCGGACGGGUGAGUAACACGUGGAUAACCUACCUAUAAGACUGGGAUAACUUCGGGAAACCGUAGCUAAUACCGGAUAAUAUUUUGAACCGCAUGGUUCAAAAGUGAAAGACGGUCUUGCUGUCACUUAUAGAUGGAUCCGCGCUGCAUUAGCUAGUUGGUAAGGUAACGGCUUACCAAGGCAACGAUGCAUAGCCGACCUGAGAGGGUGAUCGGCCACACUGGGACUGAGACACGGUCCAGACUCCUACGGGAGGCAGCAGUAGGGAAUCUUCCGCAAUGGGCGAAAGCCUUACGGAGCAACGCCGCGUGAGUGAUGAAGGUCUUCGGAUCGUAAAACUCUGUUAUUAGGGAAGAACAUAUGUGUAAGUAACUGUGCACAUCUUGACGGUACCUAAUCAGAAAGCCACGGCUAACUACGUG